UUUCAUAUUUUAUAAUAGAUUCCUUUUCCUCUUUCUUUUGACUCCCUUUGUUAACUUCAUAUUUCAUGAAAUAAACAUCAUAAACAACUUUUUUGAAUAUAUAAACUUACCCCUAUAGUGAUUGUUUUAUCCAUGUCUGUUGACUUAGUGAUAAACUUUCAUAUAGAAUCUGGCCUUACUUGAAAAAGAAUCAGUGACGUCUGAUAGUACCUCUGCUACUAUUGCUGCAGUAUCCCCAAGGUACCUAGGUGUAUUAGUUACAUGCCACCGAAAACAAGAUAAGUCUGUCACAAGAAGAAUCCGAUCUCAAGGAAUCCAUUGGAUUGCUGCACACUGGACUGUCACUACAACAUUCAAACCAAAGUUGCAAUUUGAAAACUCCUUGGUUCCACAUUACUACUUCCUAAGCGUUGCCACUGAAAGAGUGAAUGGAUAUAGAAGUGACGUGAUCCAAAACUGGAAACUUUAAGUACUAUGGGUGGUCUGGUACCUGACUGAAAUCACAAAUACUACACUGUCGUAAUCCAUUGACAAUAUAUAAUGUUCCAAAAUCAUGUAGGACAUGAUAAGAUGUGAUAUCUUAGAAUCAAAUCUGGAUAAUAAUUAUAGUGGUGCAUUCUACCAUGAGUUAUAUAUUUAAGAAAAAGUGUUUCAUUAAGCUUAUAGCUUAUUACACAAUCAAACUAAGAUAAAUUAGUAUAAACUAAACUAACGAUUAUCAAUUUCCACAUUUCACACAGAACACAGGGAACAAGAAAUUGAAGUUUCAUAUUGCAAGUAUUUCACUUUCUUGAUAGUCAGUCAUAAAAUAUGCUGGUUCCCAAGGAAAUUCAUGAGCAUGCAGUAUCUAGAGAGCUUCAGUAAUGGCAACAACUGUUUCUCCUUCUGUAAUAAAUGUUGCAGCAAUUUGAUAACCUCAAUUUGUUCUUACAGCCAGAAAAAACAAUGUUAGAUCAUAUAAUGAAGUUUUAUAUGUGGCAUCCAGAAAUGCAAAGCGUCCAUACAGCUGCAUGAGCCUCUUCUGUUCACCAGACAUAUAAGCAAACAAAAAGGAUGCUCCAAACUAGAAAAAAGGGCAUUGUAGGGGGAAAAAAAAAAAGAAAUAGAAAAAAAAAUAUUAUCUAUUACAUAACAACAAAACUGCUACAUUUUUUGCACAAUGGUUAAAAAGAGUGUAAAACAAACAAAAAGGAUGUUCCAAACAAGAAAAAAAGAACAUUAUAGAAUACAAAUAAAAAAAUAGAAACAAUAAUAUUUACAACAGAACAGCUACAUUUUUACACAGUGGUUUAAAAAAAAGUGUUAAGUUUAUAAUGAGUACUUUUAUAAAACUUACAAAAAAUAUAUUAAAAAAGAUUAACAAGAACUUUUUACUUUACUGGCAAUAUGCUUAUAAAAACAACACAGGUAUCUCCUCCUUGUUGUUACUCUCUCAUGAGGUAUCUCCUCCCUGUUGGUACUCUCUCAUGAGGUAUCUCCUUUUUGUUUCUCUCUCAUGAGGUAUGUCCUCCUUGUUGUUACUCUCUCAUGAGGUAUCUCCUCCCUGUUGGUACUCUCUCAUGAGGUAUCUCCUUGUUGUUUCUCUCUCAUGAGGUAUCUCCCCCUUGUUGUUACUCUCUCAUGAGGUAUCUCCUCCUUGUUGUUACUCUUUCAUGAGGUAUCUCCUCCCUGUUGGUACUCUCUCAUGAGGUAUCUCCUUGUUGUUUCUCUCUCAUGAGGUAUCUCCCCCUUGUUGUAACUCUCUCAUGAGGUAUCUCCUCCUUGUUGUCACUCUUUCAUGAGGUAUCUCCUCCCUGUUGGUACUCUCUCAUGAGGUAUAUCCUCCUUGUUGUUACUCUCUCAUGAGGUAUCUCCUCCUUGUUGUAACUCUCAUGAGGUAUCUCCUCCCUGUUGGUACUCUCUCAUUAGGUAUCUCCUCCUUGUUGGUACUCUCUGAGGUAUCUCCUCCCUGUUGGUACUCUCUCAUGAGGUAUCUCCUCCUUGUUGGUAUCUCCUCCUUGUUGUUACUCUCUCAUGAGGUAUCUCCUCCUUGUUGGUACUCUCUCAUGAGGUAUCUCCUUGUUGUUUAACUCUCUCAUGAGGUAUCUCCUCCUUGUUGUUACUCUUUCAUGAGGUAUCUCUUGCCUGUUGGUACUCUCUCAUGAGGUAUCUCCUCCUUGGUGUUACUCUCUCAUGAGGUAUCAUCUCCUUGUUGUUACUCUCUCAUGAGGUAACUCCUCUCUGUUGGUACUCUCUCAUGAGGUAUCUCCAUGUUGUUUAACUCUCUCAUGAGGUAUCUCCUCCUUGUUGUUACUCUAUCAUGAGGUAUCUCCUCCCUGUUGUGGAUUCUUGCCAACAGGUCUUCUGCUUUGCAUGACAAUUCAAAAUUGGAGGCAUCAAGUGCAAUCUGUGGGAGAAAAUACCGAAGAUUUUAAAAAUAAUAGAGAUUUUUUUUCAAUCACAGUACAAAUACCUCCACUAUCACAAUAAUCAUAAUGCUUUAUUUAAGCAACAUAUAAAUAUCCUGCUAUAUAUUACUUGUUUUUAAUACAAAUUUACUAAGCUAAACUUUAAUGCAGAACUUAAGGAAUCUAUUAAUAAUAGGACAUUUCCUAUUAAUAAUAGGACAUUAUAAACCUCACAUGGAAUUCGUUGUUGCAGAAUAAAUUUAUUAAAGGAACUCAAAUGAGGUUCAAAGGCUCAAAACUAUAUAAUAAGGUUAUAUUGCUAAACAUGCUGUAAAACCAUUACUUAAACAUUAUAAACUCAUUUCUAAAGAAGCAAAAAUGUCUUAGAUGUGCUUUUAAAAGGAAACAGACCUCAUUUUGAUCCAUUUAAACACCUAGCUACAUUUUGUAAGCAGUACCUGAUAAAUUGGAAAUCGACAGUUUUCUUGGCCAAUGAUUUGAGCUGGACAGUUAAUUUUUCUAGUAUCCUGUACUACAUUAACCAGGGCUGGGAAUCAAAACUGCGUCGUAUCCUACA